GUAGAAGCCAGUGGGUCAAGUUAUCCUGGUGACCUUGAAGCAGGAAACUGGAGUUAUUGCCCACCAGAUAUGAGCUAGACAAAUGCUCUUUACCUUCGCAUCUUGAACAGUGAAGGGAGAGUGAGUCCAAGGAGACAAGGGAGAUGAAUAUCUAUGUGGAUACAGACAUAUGGGGUUCAUGUGUGUGUACAGACAUGCAUACAGAUUAUAUGCAUCACUGAAGUAUUUAUGCACACACAUAAACAUACACGUCACAUUUGCAUCCUCUGUAUCAUGCACAGAGGAGGACAAUUUGGAAAAGAGCCAGGAGUCCUCAUCCCUUGCUGGUCUAGGUCAGGCUUGUUGCUGUUUUGCUAACUAGUUAAAAGCAAAGUCAGCCUAGUCAACCGAAUCCCAAGACGGAGGGCAGCUCUCUUGUUGGUCAGUCCCCUGAAAACAGUCCUGCUGCCAUGGACUGUAAGCCACAGGGCAGGGGAAACAAUUUGUCUCGUUCUGAGAAGAUUAGAACCUAGGAUGUUGGUGGAGUCUGGAAACUUCUCUGUGGAUUUCAGUUAGUUCCAUGUGCACCUGUAGGGCUUCAGUCAAUUAAACAGCAGAGCUUAACGGAAUUUUAAACAAGAGGUGUCACUUUUCAAAGGUAAUCCUAUAUGUUAUAUAUAGGAUUUCUUUCCCCACAUACUAGCUUCCUGAUAGCAUUACAAUAGGAUACCAGUGAAAUGUCAUCUAACAAACAAUAGGAUUUGGGUUUUAAAAGGAAAAGCCACAUGAAAUGUCUGCAUUGGCUUAUUUAGCUUAGGAUGUCAAUAUCACAUAAUGGCUGGAAUAUUUACCCACCUGGCCUGGAUUGCCUAAGCCAAGGUACCUGCUGACCACAAAUGGAAUCAAGUGAUGGACCACAUGUCCAGGAAGAAGAGCUCAGCAUUUAGAGCUGGGCAUUCAUUUCAUCAAAUGACCUGUCCUUCUGUCCAGGCUCAUGAGCAGACAUCUGUAAUCAUGCUAACUUGUAGCAGAAGGCACCAUUGGUUCCCAGCAGAGAAAGAACCUCAAAUUUUUCUCAAGACAGCACUCCAUCAUUUCUUAUACCUGGAUUGCAGCUGACACAAACACAGUGAACCUUAUUACAUUCAGGCUCUUGUCUAUCUAAGAAAUAGGGCAAUUCACUAUGCGCACUUCAUAGAGUGACGAGAAUGGUCCUUAGCUAUUACUUGGCUGCUCAUUGGCUGUUGAGUUUGGAAACCAUCCUAAAUUAUGAACUGAUGGCAAUAGAUGAGACACAUUGAGACCCUGGGACUUUUUCCAGGAUGCCCUCCAAAGUGGUACAAUGAAGUGAUUCUUCACUGGGGCCCCAUGUGGCCCACGUAUAGAAUUGGAGGGUCUGUGAUCUUGGAUGUGAAAAUACAUAUCAUCAUUUUCACUGACUUCUAAUUCAAAUUUUGUAUUCCUCUCAAUCAUGAGUACCAGCAAUAAACUGUUAUUAGCAGCAUCUGUGAAUUCAUGAAUAGAAAUCACAGGUUUCAGUAUCCUACAGAAUCACAUGUGCUCAUCACAGUUCUGAAAUUGCAGAAGGUCUUAGACCAGCUCCUAGUUGCUGGUAUUUAUGAUGUUAUUAUGGAAGCACAUACAUGAUUACACCACAGAUUUGUUUUUUUGAAAAGUAUUUUGAUAACUGUAUUGUAAUAUAAUAUGUUUUCUUUGGAAACCCACAUGUGUUAUAAGAGAUGAGGGUAGAUCAUGGAAAAGGAUUCUUCCAGCUGUCAAACUAUGUGCCUUCCUGUUGGUCCCUAUGGUGCUAUUUUACGUAGAGCUCUGCUUAGACUCAGUUUUAAGUGACCUGUACUCCAAGACUGGCCUAUCAAAGUCCUAACCAUGUGUUUUUCAAUUCUAUAUGUAUUUAUAAAACAUAAAAUAUAAAAUGAAAGCCGGUUUCGAGAUCUUAG
rnacentral:lncRNA from 1 species